rnacentral:rRNA from 1 species
UGGGGAAUCUUGCGCAAUGGCCGAAAGGCUGACGCAGCGACGCCGCGUGUGGGAUGAAGGUCUUCGGAUUGUAAACCACUGUCGGGAGGGACGAAGCUCUGACGGUACCUCCAAAGGAAGCACCGGCUAACUCUGUGCCAGCAGCCGCGGUAAUACAGAGGGUGCGAGCGUUGUCCGGAAUCACUGGGCGUAAAGGGCGCGUAGGCGGCCUGGUAAGUCGGGGGUGAAACGCUGCGGCUCAACCGCAGCA